GCGGCGUGCUUACACAUGCAAGUCGAACGGAAAGGCCCUGCUUGCAGGGUACUCGAGUGGCGAACGGGUGAGUAACACGUGGGUGAUCUGCCCUGCACUUCGGGAUAAGCCUGGGAAACUGGGUCUAAUACCGGAUAGGAGCCAUUUUUAGUGUGAUGGUUGGAAAGUUUUUUCGGUGUAGGAUGAGCUCGCGGCCUAUCAGCUUGUUGGUGGGGUAAUGGCCUACCAAGGCGGCGACGGGUAGCCGGCCUGAGAGGGUGGACGGCCACAUUGGGACUGAGAUACGGCCCAGACUCCUACGGGAGGCAGCAGUGGGGAAUAUUGCACAAUGGGCGCAAGCCUGAUGCAGCGACGCCGCGUGGGGGAUGACGGCCUUCGGGUUGUAAACUCCUUUCGCUAGGGACGAAGCUUUUUGUGACGGUACCUAGAUAAGAAGCACCGGCUAACUACGUGCCAGCAGCCGCGGUAAU
rnacentral:rRNA from 1 species